UACGUAGGGUGCGAGCGUUGUCCGGAAUUAUUGGGCGUAAAGAGCUCGUAGGCGGUCUGUCGCGUCGGUCGUGAAACUUGGGGCUUAACCCUGAGCUUGCGGUCGAUACGGGCAUGACUGGAGUUCGGUAGGGGAGACUGGAAUUCCUGGUGUAGCGGUGAAAUGCGCAGAUACUCAGGAGGAACACCGGUGGCGAAGGCGGGUCUCUGGGCCGAUACUGACGCUGAGGAGCGAAAGCGUGGGGAGCGAACAGG
rnacentral:rRNA from 1 species